rnacentral:rRNA from 1 species
UACGUAGGGUGCAAGCGUUAAUCGGAAUUACUGGGCGUAAAGCGUGCGCAGGCGGUGAUGUAAGACAGGUGUGAAAUCCCCGGGCUUAACCUGGGAACUGCAUUUGUGACUGCAUCGCUGGAGUGCGGCAGAGGGGGACGGAAUUCCGCGUGUAGCAGUGAAAUGCGUAGAUAUGCGGAGGAACACCGAUGGCGAAGGCAAUCCCCUGGGCCUGCACUGACGCUCAUGCACGAAAGCGUGGGAGCAACAGG